UACGUAGGGUGCAAGCGUUGUCCGGAAUUAUUGGGCGUAAAGAGCUCGUAGGCGGUUUGUUGCGUCGGCUGUGAAAUCCCGAGGCUCAAACCUCGGGUCUGCAGUCGAUACGAGCAAACUAGAGUGUUGCAGGGGAGACUGGAAUUCCCGGUGUAGUGGUGAAAUGCGUAGAUAAUCGGGAGGAACACCAGUGGCGAAGGCGGCUUCCUGGCCUGUUCUUGACGCUGAGGCGCGAAAGCUAGGGGGAGCAAAACGGG
rnacentral:rRNA from 1 species